rnacentral:rRNA from 1 species
UACGAAGGGGGCGAGCGUUGUUCGGAUUUACUGGGCGUAAAGAGCGUGUAGGCGGCCAUGUAGGUCCGGUGUGAAAACUCGAGGCUUAACCUCGAGAUGUCAUCGGAAACCAUUUGGCUAGAGUCCGGAAGAGGAGAGUGGAAUUCCUGGUGUAGCGGUGAAAUGCGCAGAUAUCAGGAAGAACACCAAUGGCGAAAGCGGAUCUCUGGGCCGAUACUGACGCUGAGGAGCGAAAGCGUGGGGAGCGAACAGG